rnacentral:rRNA from 1 species
AGAGUUUGAUCCUGGCUCAGGACGAACGCUGGCGGCGUGCCUAAUACAUGCAAGUCGAACGAGAAUUUCUUACACCGAAUGCUUGCAUUCACCGUAAGAAUUCGAGUGGCGGACGGGUGAGUAACACGUGGGUAACCUGCCCAAAAGAAGGGGAUAACAUUUGGAAACAAAUGCUAAUACCGUAUAACCAUGAUGACCGCAUGGUCAUUAUGUGAAAGGUGGUUCUGCUAUCGCUUUUGGAUGGACCCGCGGCGUAUUAACUAGUUGGUAGGGUAACGGCCUACCAAGGUGAUGAUACGUAGCCGAACUGAGAGGUUGAUCGGCCACAAUGGGACUGAGACACGGCCCAUACUCCUACGGGAGGCAGCAGUAGGGAAUCUUCCACAAUGGGCGCAAGCCUGAUGGAGCAACGCCGCGUGAAUGAAGAAGGUCUUCGGAUCGUAAAAUUCUGUUGUUAGAGAAGAAUAUGAGUAAUAGUAACUGAUUAUUCACUGACGGUAUCUAACCAGCAAGUCACGGCUAACUACGUGCCAGCAGCCGCGGUAAUACGUAGGUGGCAAGCGUUGUCCGGAUUUAUUGGGCGUAAAGGGAACGCAGGCGGUUUUUUAAGUCUGAUGUGAAAGCCUUCGGCUUAACCGGAGAUGUGCAUUGGAAACUGGAAGACUUGAGUGCAGAAGAGGAGAGUGGAACUCCAUGUGUAGCGGUGAAAUGCGUAGAUAUAUGGAAGAACACCAGUGGCGAAAGCGGCUCUCUGGUCUGUAACUGACGCUGAGGUUCGAAAGCAUGGGUAGCGAACAGGAUUAGAUACCCUGGUAGUCCAUGCCGUAAACGAUGAAUGCUAGGUGUUGGAGGGUUUCUGCCCUUCAGUGCCGCAGCUAACGCAAUAAGCAUUCCGCCUGGGGAGUACGACCGCAAGGUUGAAACUCAAAGGAAUUGACUG